rnacentral:rRNA from 1 species
ACGGGUGAGUAACACGUGGGUAACCUGCCCAUCAGAAGGGGAUAACACUUGGAAACAGGUGCUAAUACCGUAUAACAAUCGAAACCGCAUGGUUUCGUUUUGAAAGGCGCUUUACGGUGCCGCUGAUGGAUGGACCCGCGGUGCAUUAGCUAGUUGGUGAGGUAACGGCUCACCAAGGCCACGAUGCAUAGCCGACCUGAGAGGGUGAUCGGCCACAUUGGGACUGAGACACGGCCCAAACUCCUACGGGAGGCAGCAGUAGGGAAUCUUCGGCAAUGGACGAAAGUCUGACCGAGCAACGCCGCGUGAGUGAAGAAGGUUCUCGGAUCGUAAAACUCUGUUGUUAGAGAAGAACAAGGGUGAGAGUAACUGUUCACCCCUUGACGGUAUCUAACCAGAAAGCCACGGCUAACUACGUGCCAGCAGCCGCGGUAAUACGUAGGUGGCAAGCGUUGUCCGGAUUUAUUGGGCGUAAAGCGAGCGCAGGCGGUUUCUUAAGUCUGAUGUGAAAGCCCCCGGCUCAACCGGGGAGGGUCAUUGGAAACUGGGAGACUUGAGUGCAGAAGAGGAGA